ACGAUGAAUCUUCUAGCUUGCUAGAAGUGGAUUAGUGGCGCACGGGUGAGUAAUGCAUAGGUUAUGUGCCCUUUAGUCUGGGAUAGCCACUGGAAACGGUGAUUAAUACUGGAUACUCCCUACGGGGGAAAGUUUUUCGCUAAAGGAUCAGCCUAUGUCCUAUCAGCUUGUUGGUGAGGUAAUGGCUCACCAAGGCUAUGACGGGUAUCCGGCCUGAGAGGGUGAUCGGACACACUGGAACUGAGACACGGUCCAGACUCCUACGGGAGGCAGCAGUAGGGAAUAUUGCUCAAUGGGGGAAACCCUGAAGCAGCAACGCCGCGUGGAGGAUGAAGGUUUUAGGAUUGUAAACUCCUUUUGUUAGAGAAGAUUAUGACGGUAUCUAACGAAUAAGCACCGGCUAACUCCGUGCCAGCAGCCGCGGUAAUACGGAGGGUGCAAGCGUUACUCGGAAUCACUGGGCGUAAAGAGUGCGUAGGCGGGGUAAUAAGUCAGAUGUGAAAUCCUGUAGCUUAACUACAGAACUGCAUUUGAAACUGUUACUCUGGAGUGUGGGAGAGGUAGGUGGAAUUCUUGGUGUAGGGGUAAAAUCCGUAGAGAUCAAGAGGAAUACUCAUUGCGAAGGCGACCUGCUGGAACAUUACUGACGCUGAUGCACGAAAGCGUGGGGAGCAAACAGGAUUAGAUACCCUGGUAGUCCACGCCCUAAACGAUGGAUGCUAGUUGUUGCCUUGCCUGUCAGGGCAGUAAUGCAGCUAACGCAUUAAGCAUCCCGCCUGGGGAGUACGGUCGCAAGAUUAAAACUCAAAGGAAUAGACGGGGACCCGCACAAGCGGUGGAGCAUGUGGUUUAAUUC
rnacentral:rRNA from 1 species